GCUGUUGGUGCUGUGAAUAUAUUUUAAUACAAUAUAAUAAUAUACAAUUUUCUGCUCUCUCAGUCCCUGCUGUACAAUUGUACAAACAUGUACAUACUACAUUUAGACACAAGAUGCACAUUUAGAUUUAAUGUAGUGUGAAUUAAAAAAUCAAAUGUGACUGUGUGUAGUACUCUUUAUUGUCAAUAAAAAAGAGUUGCACCAUAAUUAUACUUGACUACAGUAAUUGGUGAGUGACUAAUUAUUAUCAUAACUUCGAUUUGUUCUCCAUUUUGGCAUCCUGUGCCAUCUCUUCUGGUACCAGUAUUUAAUAAACAGAUAAAUCCU
rnacentral:lncRNA from 1 species